rnacentral:lncRNA from 1 species
AUGAAAUAUCAAUCUUGCCAGACAACAUUUUAUUCUUCAGGUAUGAAUCACAUCAGUAAACAAGUCUUUCCUGGAUUUGUGAUGAAAUGCCUGGGAAAAAAAAGAUUAUUAAUUUGCUGUGCUGUGCUCUCCGGCAUAAGCCCAACACAUUUCUCUGCCUCUGGUCUGCCAUGUAGUCCCAAUGCAGAGAAGAAGCUGUGCUGUACCACCCAGCAGGACCCUGAUCUUCCAGUGAGAUCCUGUCCAAUCCUGCUCUUUGAAGACACUACAUUUUCAUCCUCAACACCAAGAAGAACUGGGUUGGACUAG